rnacentral:misc_RNA from 1 species
GAUGAAGAACGUAGCGAAAUGCGAUACUUGGUGUGAAUUGCAGAAUCCCGUGAACCAUCGAGUCUUUGAACGCAAGUUGCGCCCGAAGCCUCGGCUAAGGGCACGUCUGCCUGGGCGUCACGCAUCGCGUCUCCCCCAAACCGCCAAGGCGGAGGGGAAGGAAGAUGGCUUCCCGUGCCUCACCCGGCGCGGUUGGCCUAAAUUUGGAGCCCGCGGCACUUAGCUCUCGCGGCGGUAGGUGGUGAACAAGGCCUUGGCCGUGCAAACAACCCGCUGCGAAGCUCUAUGUCACGUGCGCUCGUCGGACCCUUUGAAGUUGCCUUCGGUGACUUAAAACCUUUGCGACCCCAGGUCAGGCGGGGCUACCCGCUGAAUUUAAGCAUAUCAAUAAGCGGAGGA